UAUAAGCCUCUUCAGAGCCUGCUCUCUGGGGACUUGGAGCUCCCAGGUUUUCCUCAGUCUAAGGUCUGAGCUGAGUCUU
rnacentral:miRNA from 1 species